rnacentral:piRNA from 1 species
UAGAUCUACCGGAGUUUUGAA